rnacentral:rRNA from 1 species
AUUGAACGCUGGCGGCAUGCUUUACACAUGCAAGUCGAACGGUAACAGGGAGCUCGCUCCGCUGACGAGUGGCGAACGGGUGAGUAAUGCAUCGGAACGUACCCAGUCGUGGGGGAUAACGUAGCGAAAGUUACGCUAAUACCGCAUACGUCCUGAGGGAGAAAGCGGGGGACCGUAAGGCUUCGCGCGAUUGGAGCGGCCGAUGUCGGAUUAGCUAGUUGGUAGGGUAAAGGCCUACCAAGGCGACGAUCCGUAGCGGGUCUGAGAGGAUGAUCCGCCACACUGGGACUGAGACACGGCCCAGACUCCUACGGGAGGCAGCAGUGGGGAAUUUUGGACAAUGGGCGAAAGCCUGAUCCAGCCAUGCCGCGUGAGUGAAGAAGGCCUCGGUUGUAAAGACUCUUUCAGCCGGAAAGAAAUACGCGC